rnacentral:lncRNA from 1 species
UAUAAGUUUAUUGGGUUGAGCCCAAUUGACAAGUGUGUGUGAGCUUUUGUGUAAGGCCCAAUGGGCGUAAUAUCCAUGAUGGAUGGACAUUAGGUUUUCCAUGUUUUAUUAAUAGAGGGCAGGAUCCCCACUUGACUUUGACGUUCUUUAACGGCUUGUGCUCCAUCGAACGGGUCAGUUUGCAAGAGACGAGAGAUCAAGUGGAAGAUCCUGUUUUACCGUUUUAUUACUGUUUCUGUUGGUGUUCUAAUUCCUAGUAUAGAUCUAGUUAAUAUGUAAUUUCUACAU